rnacentral:rRNA from 1 species
GACGAACGCUGGCGGCGUGCUUAACACAUGCAAGUCGAACGGGAACCUUUAUUUCGGUAAAGGUGAGAGUGGCAAACGGGUGAGUAACACGUAGGCAACCUGCCGACAGGAUGGGGACAACAUUCCGAAAGGAAUGCUAAUACCGAAUGGAGUCCGAGGAUGGCAUCAUCCACGGAUCAAAGAUGGCCUCUUAACAAUGCUAUCGCCUGUCGAUGGGCCUGCGUCUGAUUAGCCAGUUGGCGGGGUAACGGCCCACCAAAGCGACGAUCAGUAGCCGGUCUGAGAGGAUGAACGGCCACAUUGGGACUGAGACACGGCCCAGACUCCUACGGGAGGCAGCAGUGGGGAAUCUUCCACAAUGGGCGAAAGCCUGAUGGAGCAACGCCGCGUGAGUGAAGAAGGUCUUCGGAUCGUAAAGCUCUGUUGCACGGGACGAAAACCGAGUUUGAAAAUAUUGAACUUGGGG